UGGGGAAUUUUGGACAAUGGGCGCAAGCCUGAUCCAGCAAUGCCGCGUGAGUGAAGAAGGCCUUCGGGUUGUAAAGCUCUUUUGUCAGGGAAGAAACGGCCUGUUCUAAUACAGCGGGCUAAUGACGGUACCUGAAGAAUAAGCACCGGCUAACUACGUGCCAGCAGCCGCGGUAAUACGUAGGGUGCAAGCGUUAAUCGGAAUUACUGGGCGUAAAGCGUGCGCAGGCGGUUUUGUAAGUUUGUCGUGAAAUCCCCGGGCUCAACCUGGGAAUGGCGAUGAAGACUGCAAGGCUAGAGUUUGGCAGAGGGGGGUAGAAUUCCACGUGUAGCAGUGAAAUGCGUAGAUAUGUGGAGGAACACCGAUGGCGAAGGCAGCCCCCUGGGUCAAAACUGACGCUCAUGCACGAAAGCGUGGGGAGCAAACAG
rnacentral:rRNA from 1 species